UUGUUUUUUGAUGGAUCAAUGGGCGAUCAAGAAGGUCCAUAGACUAGGUUGGUCACCUCCUUUGUACUUGAAGUAAUGCCUGCCUAUAGGUUGGCUCAAGUAAUCGAUCCUACAUCAUAAUUUGUCGUUGUGGGGGCAAGUAUUUGUGUGGUCUCUAC